AACAAGGUUCCAUUAGGAACCACCUUAACGGAUUAGCAAAAUAAUU
rfam:Clonorchis sinensis DNA, scaffold: 1196, strain: Henan.